AGAGUUUGAUCCUGGCUCAGAUUGAACGCUGGCGGCAUGCCUUACACAUGCAAGUCGAGCGGCAGCGCGGGGGCAACCCUGGCGGCGAGCGGCGAACGGGUGAGUAAUACAUCGGAACGUGAUCCUAACGGGGGGGAUAACCAGGCGAAUGACUGGCUAAUACCUCAUGAGAUCGAAUGAUGAAAUGAGGGAACCGCCUGGCCUCGCGCGAUUGGAUCGCCCGAUGUCAGAUUAUUUAGUUGGCGGGGUAAAAGCCCACCAAGGCUACGAUCCGUAGCUGGUUUGAGAGAACGACCACCCUGCCUGGGACUGAAACCCCGCCCUCACUCCUACGGGAGGAAGGAGUGGGGAAUUUUGGAGAAUGGGCGCAAGCCUGAUCCACCCCUGCCGCGUGUGUAAAGAAUGCCUUCUGGUUGUAAAGCACUUUCGGCCGGAACGAAAUCUCGCGGGUUAAUAACCCGUGUGGAUGACGGUACCCGAAGAAGAAGCACCGGCUAACUACGUGCCAGCAGCCGCGGUAAUACGUAUGGUGCGAGCGUUAAUCGAAAUUACUGGCCUUAAAGGGUGCGCAAGCGGUCCCGCAAGUCACGCGUGAAAUCCCCCGACUUAGCCUGAGAAUGACACUU
rnacentral:rRNA from 1 species